GAUGAACGCUGGCGGCGUGCCUAAUACAUGCAAGUCGAGCGAACGGACGAGAAGCUUGCUUCUCUGAUGUUAGCGGCGGACGGGUGAGUAACACGUGGAUAACCUACCUAUAAGACUGGGAUAACUUCGGGAAACCGUAGCUAAUACCGGAUAAUAUUUUGAACCGCAUGGUUCAAAAGUGAAAGACGGUCUUGCUGUCACUUAUAGAUGGAUCCGCGCUGCAUUAGCUAGUUGGUAAGGUAACGGCUUACCAAGGCAACGAUGCAUAGCCGACCUGAGAGGGUGCGCGCCCACACUGACACGGAAACGGGCCAGAGACUCCUAGGGGGGGGAGCAGUAGGAACUCUCCCAAAGGGGGAGAGCCCCAGGGGGAGCAACCCCGCGUGGGAUAUAGGGCUUCUGAGCGGAAAACUCUCUUUUUUGGGGAAAAAACAUAUGUGAAUAUAUCUGCGCACCUUGUCGCGGCACAUACAGAGAACCACGGCUGAAUCUAC
rnacentral:rRNA from 1 species